rnacentral:ncRNA from 17 species
AGGAAGCCCUGGAGGGGCUGGAGG